rnacentral:rRNA from 1 species
AAAAUCCGGGAAUCUCUAUGCCGAGCACCGAGACGAGUCCUAUGAGGACGAAGUGACUGACACCACGCUUCCAGGAAAAGCCACUAAGCUUCAGCUGUAGAAAAACCGUACCGCAAACCGACACAGGUAGGCAGGGUGAGAAUCCCAAGGCGCUUGAGAGAACUCGGGUGAAGGAACUAGGCAAAAUGGCACCGUAACUUCGGGAGAAGGUGCGCCUCUUGGUGUGGUCACGUGCGUGACUGAGCAUCGAGGGGUCGCAGUAACCUGGCCGCUGCGACUGUUUAUCAAAAACACAGCACUCUGCAAACACGAAAGUGGACGUAUAGGGUGUGACGCCUGCCCGGUGCUGGAAGGUUAAUCGAUGGGGUCAGCCGCAAGGCGAAGCUCUUGAUCGAAGCCCCAGUAAACGGCGGCCGUAACUAUAACGGUCCUAAGGUAGCGAAAUUCCUUGUCGGGUAAGUUCCGACCUGCACGAAUGGCGUAACGACAGCGGCGCUGUCUCCACCCGAGACUCAGUGAAAUUGAAAUCGCUGUGAAGAUGCAGCGUUCCCGCGGCAAGACGGAAAGACCCCGUGAACCUUUACUAUAGCUUUACACUGAACGUUGAGUUCUUCUGUGUAGGAUAGGUGGGAGGCUAUGAAACCAGGACGCUAGUUCUGGUGGAGCCAUCCUUGAAAUACCACCCUGAAGUGCUUGACGUUCUAACCUAGGUCCGUAAUCCGGAUCGGGGACCGUGUAUGGUGGGUAGUUUGACUGGGGCGGUCUCCUCCCAAAGAGUAACGGAGGAGCACGAAGGUACGCUCAGCGCGGUCGGACAUCGCGCACUGUGUGCAAAGGCAUAAGCGUGCUUGACUGCGAGAUCGACGGAUCAAGCAGGUACGAAAGUAGGUCUUAGUGAUCCGGUGGUUCUGUAUGGAAGGGCCAUCGCUCAACGGAUAAAAGGUACUCCGGGGAUAACAGGCUGAUACCGCCCAAGAGUUCAUAUCGACGGCGGUGUUUGGCACCUCGAUGUCGGCUCAUCACAUCCUGGGGCUGUAGCCGGUCCCAAGGGUAUGGCUGUUCGCCAUUUAAAGUGGUACGCGAGCUGGGUUCAGAACGUCGUGAGACAGUUCGGUCCCUAUCUGUCGUGGGCGUUGGAGAUUUGAGGGGGGCUGCUCCUAGUACGAGAGGACCGGAGUGGACGUUCCGCUGGUGUUCGGGUUGUCAUGCCCAUGGCAUUGCCCGGUAGCUACGAACGGAAGUGAUAACCGCUGAAAGCAUCUAAGCGGGAAGCACGCCCCAAGAUGAGAUCUCCCGAGAGCUUGACUCUCCUAAAGGCACCAUCAAGACUAGGUGGUUGAUAGGCACGGUGUGGAAGUGCAGCAAUGCAUUGAGCUUACGUGUACUAAUGAGCCGUGAGGCUUGAUCAA